rnacentral:rRNA from 1 species
GACGAACGCUGGCGGCGUGCCUAAUACAUGCAAGUCGAACGGUCUUUUCUAUGGAAGCUUGCUUCCAAUGAGGAGAUAGUGGCGAACGGGUGAGUAACACGUGGGUAACCUGCCCAUAAGAGGGGGAUAACAUCCGGAAACGGGUGCUAAUACCGCAUAGGUUUCUUGGUCGCAUGAUCGAGAAAGGAAAGACGGCCUUUGUGCUGUCGCUUAUGGAUGGACCCGCGGCGUAUUAGUUAGUUGGUGAGGUAACGGCUCACCAAGACGAUGGUACGUAGCCGACCUGAGAGGGUGAUCGGCCACAUUGGGACUGAGACACGGCCCAAACUCCUACGGGAGGCAGCAGUAGGGAAUCUUCCGCAAUGGACGAAAGUCUGACGGAGCAACGCCGCGUGAGUGAAGAAGGUUUUCGGAUCGUAAAACUCUGUUGUCAGAGAAGAACAAGUCGGAGAGUAACUGCUCCGGCCUUGACGGUAUCUGACCAGAAAGCCACGGCUAACUACGUGCCAGCAGCCGCCGUAAGAC